rnacentral:rRNA from 1 species
AACGAACGCUGGCGGCAGGCUUAACACAUGCAAGUCGAACGCUCCGCAAGGAGAGUGGCAGACGGGUGAGUAACACGUGGGAACGUACCCUUUACUACGGAACAACUCCGGGAAACUGGAGCUAAUACCGUAUGUGCCCUUCGGGGGAAAGAUUUAUCGGUAAAGGAUCGGCCCGCGUUGGAUUAGCUAGUUGGUGGGGUAAAGGCCUACCAAGGCGACGAUCCAUAGCUGGUCUGAGAGGAUGAUCAGCCACAUUGGGACUGAGACACGGCCCAAACUCCUACGGGAGGCAGCAGUGGGGAAUAUUGGACAAUGGGCGCAAGCCUGAUCCAGCCAUGCCGCGUGUGUGAUGAAGGCCUUAGGGUUGUAAAGCACUUUCACCGGAGAAGAUAAUGACGGUAUCCGGAGAAGAAGCCCCGGCUAACUUCGUGCCAGCCGCCGCCGUAAGAC